GGGGAUAUAGCUCAGUUGGUUAGAGCGCCGCAUUUGCAAUGCGGAGGUCGUCGGUUCGAAUCCGACUAUCUCCACCA
rnacentral:tRNA from 1 species